rnacentral:rRNA from 1 species
GGAAAGUUCACACAGUGACGGUAGCUUNCCAGAAAGGGACGGCUAACUACGUGCCAGCAGCCGCGGUAAUACGUAGNUCCCGAGCGUUGUCCGGAUUUAUUGGGCGUAAAGGGAGCGCAGGCGNUCAGGAAAGUCUGGAGUAAAAGGCUAUGGNUCAACCAUAGUGUGCUCUGGAAACUGUCUGACUUGAGUGCAGAAGGGGAGAGUGGAAUUCCAUGUGUAGCGGUGAAAUGCGUAGAUAUAUGGAGGAACACCAGUGGCGAAAGCGGCUCUCUGGUCUGUCACUGACGCUGAGGCUCGAAAGCGUGGGUAGCGAACAGGAUUAGAUACCCUGGUAGUCCACGCCGUAAACGAUGAGUGCUAGGUGUUAGGCCCUUUCCGGGGCUUAGUGCCGGAGCUAACGCAAUAAGCACUCCGCCUGGGGAGUACGACCGCAAGGUUGAAACUCAAAGGAAUUGACGGGGGCCCGCACAAGCGGUGGAGCAUGUGGUUUAAUUCGAAGCAACGCGAAGAACCUUACCAGGUCUUGACAUCCCGAUGCUAUUCUUAGAGAUAGGAAGUUACUUCGGUACAUCGGAGACAGGUGUGCAUAGUUGUCGUCAGCUCGAGUUGUGAGAUGUUGGGUUAAGUCCCGCAACGAGCACAACCCUUAUUGUUAGUUGCCAUCAUUAAGUUGGGCACUCUAGCGAGACUGCCGGUAAUAAACCGGAGGAAGGUGGGGAUGACGUCAAAUCAUCAUGCCCCUUAUGACCUGGGCUACACACGUGCUACAAUGGUCGGUACAACGAGUUGCGAGCCGGUGACGGCAAGCUAAUCUCUGAAAGCCGAUCUCAGUUCGGAUUGGAGGCUGCAACUCGCCUCCAUGAAGUCGGA